rnacentral:rRNA from 1 species
CCUACGGGGGGCAGCAGUAGGGAAUUUUCGGCAAUGGGGGGAACCCUGACCGAGCAACGCCGCGUGAACGAAGAAGUUAUUCGUAAUGUAAAGUUCUUUUAACAGGGAAGAAAGAGAAAUUUGACGGUACCUGAAGAAUAAGCUCUGGCUAACUACGUGCCAGCAGCCGCGGUAAUACGUAGGGAGCGGGCGUUAUCCGGAAUUAUUGGGCGAAAAGGGUGCGUAGAUGGUCUAGUAAGUCUGUUGUAAAAAUGCUGGGCUCAACCCAGUAGGGCAAAAGAUACUGCAAAGCUAGAGUAUGACAGAGGCAAGUGGAACUACAUGUGUAGCGGUAAAAUGCGUAAAUAUAUGUAAGAACACCAGUGGCGAAGGCGGCUUGCUGGGUCGAUACUGACAUUGAGGCACGAAAGCGUGGGGAGCAAACAGGAUUAGAUACCCGAGUAGUC